rnacentral:lncRNA from 1 species
AGUCCAGCCGCAGGGGCCACCCGAACAGUCUCUCCUCCUCACAGAAGCCUGGAGCUGGGCAUCCAAGAAGAAGCAGCCUCAUUUGUUUUCUGGUGUCAUCGUAGGUGGCCACCUAUGGCUUUUGGGCUUCUCACCUGGGGCGGGUGGGUUCUGCACCACCCUCCCACCCUCCUUCCUCCGUGUGGACGAUAGAGCCACAUCCAGCACCACGGACAGCUCCCGGGCGAUCCCAUGGGAGUAGAAGAGGUGUGAGCAGGUUGCCCAGCUGGUUAGCGGAAAUGCCAAGAUCCAGGCUCCUGAAUUUCAGCCUGGCCCUUUCUAUCUGUCUGAUACCUCCUUUACGAGUCUCUCUGCCUGCGUUGUGUGGAGCGGGCCUGCUGCUGGUUGGGGGAGUUUGCAGGUUGCCCCUAUGCAAAAAAGGACAGGAUGCAUGACUGGCAUGUAAGGUGUUCAGGAAAACCAGGAAAAGGUGGAACAGACUGCUACCUCUGUCUGAAGUGGUUUGGAGGGAAGGCCUCAGGGACAGGGCAUACCUAGCAGUAGCUGGCAAGCCCAUGGGAGAAAAGGCAAGGGGGCAACCAUCUGCCAGGGCACAGAGGCCAGGGGAUGGCCACAAGGAGUCUCCAGAGGCCAGUGGGAGUCAUGCAAACUGGAACGGGGCCUGGGAAAGGCCCUUCUGUGUGCCCAGGCCUGCCUCCCCAACACCGUGAGCCUAGAAACAAAGGGGCCAUUCUCUCUAGGAUUUGAUGCUGCCAUCUCCGGCUGGCAGUGCCAGCCUUCAUCUCCUCGUCCUCCAGGCAGCACAAGCCAUUGUGGAAUCUCCACCAGGUGUACAGAACGGUGCCUCUGCGUCCUGCCACUCAGGACCUCUCAAGUCCCCGAUGUGAUGGCUCCUCAGCAUGAUCAGGAGUGAGCGUAAUUCAGACCUAUUUAGAUCCGUCAGCCCACGGACCAGGGGGACCUUGAGCAGGACAGUCUUUUGUCUCCAAGCAGUCAUUCCCUGUUAUACAAGCAAGAGUCAGGAGGAGGAAUGGUUUUGGCAUCAUCCCCCACAGACAGCAAUGGGGCCUUUAGGCCUGGAAGGAAGGACCAGGCUGCGGCUGGCAUAUGGAGGUUGAGCCCUGGGCACGGGGCAUCAGCUUCACCCGGCUGGGGAUGCCUUCUGCUGGGUUUGUCCAUCUGGCACCAGCUGGCUUCCCAGCACCGCCCCCACAACCAACCAGACUCCUCCUUCUGCUGUUGCCAUGGCAAUUGGCUGCCAUAUUGUACCUCAGAGCACUAGCUCCUAUCUGGAUUUUCCCGCGGGGUUCCUAGAGGGUGGGAGAUGGGUCUCCAGGGAUUUAUCCCUUUCCCCUGAUAUCUAUCCAAUAAAAAUUCAUAA